GGCCGGUUGGCUUAAUGGCAAAGCGCCAGUUUCCGGUUCCAUUACAUGAGGCACCUGCUCAUGUGGUACCCCUAGCUGGAGAUUGCAUGUUCGAGUCCUGCACUGGUCG